rnacentral:rRNA from 1 species
GUGCCAGCAGCCGCGGUAAUACGGAGGAUCCAAGCGUUAUCCGGAAUCAUUGGGUUUAAAGGGUCCGUAGGCGGUCUUGUAAGUCAGUGGUGAAAGCCCAUCGCUCAACGGUGGAACGGCCAUUGAUACUGCAGGACUUGAAUUAUUGGGAAGUAACUAGAAUAUGUAGUGUAGCGGUGAAAUGCUUAGAGAUUACAUGGAAUACCAAUUGCGAAGGCAGGUUACUACCAAUUGAUUGACGCUGAUGGACGAAAGCGUGGGUAGCGAACAGGAUUAGAUACCCGGGUAGUCC